UGCCAGACUCCUACGGGAGGCAGCAGUGGGGGAUAUUGCACAAUGGGGGAAACCCUGAUGCAGCGACGCCGCGUGAGCGAAGAAGUACCUCGGUAUGUAAAGCUCUAUCAGCAGGGAAGAAGAUGACGGUACCUGACCAAGAAGCUCCGGCUAAAUACGUGCCAGCAGCCGCGGUAAUACGUAUGGAGCAAGCGUUAUCCGGAUUUACUGGGUGUAAAGGGGGCGCAGACGGCGAUGCAAGCCAGGAGUGAAAGCCCGGGGCCCAACCCCGGGACUGCUCUUGGAACUGCGUGGCUAGAGUGCAGGAGGGGCAGGCGGAAUUCCUGGUGUAGCGGUGAAAUGCGUAGAUAUCAGGAGGAACACCGGUGGCGAAGGCGGCCUGCUGGACUGCAACUGACGUUGAGGCCCGAAAGCGUGGGGAGCAAACAGGAUUAGAUACCCCAGUA
rnacentral:rRNA from 1 species